rnacentral:rRNA from 1 species
UGGGGAAUUUUGGACAAUGGGGGCAACCCUGAUCCAGCCAUUCCGCGUGAGUGAAGAAGGCCUUCGGGUUGUAAAGCUCUUUCGGCAGGAACGAAACGGUGAGGGCCAAUACCCCUUAUCAAUGACGGUACCUGAAGAAGAAGCACCGGCUAACUACGUGCC